CUGUAGCCUCUUCUGGACCCCAGAGUCUACAUUUUUAUUCAUAGCCAAGACUCUGAUGGGAAUAACAUACUUGUUCUCUCCUCUGUUUUCUUCUAAACAUGCAACUUACUGCGUUCUGACCUCUACCCACACCAUGCCAUUGAAAUCACUCUCCUACCAAAAUUAUCAAUGACUUCCACAGAGUGAAAGCCAAUAGGUACUUUUCCUGCUGGGUGUGGUGGUACACACCAGAAAUCCCAGUGACUCUGGAGGCUGAGGCAGGAGGAUCACAAAUUCAAGGCCAGCCUCAGCAACUUAGCAAGGCCCUGUGGGGAGCCAUUCUCACACGUGACUGGGCAACUCCCGGUUUGGGUCUGAGGCACUCUGGCUAACUGUGUCAGAGCUUUCCCGGCCCUCUCCUGAUGAGAGAGCCUGUCCGUGUGGGGGUGUGACUGACCACUGACCCCGGGGGCCAAUCACUGACCCUGACCUUGGAGUGCAGCCCCCCUCAACCUUCAUUGGAUGGAAUUCUCCCCUGAAUUUCUUGUUCCCCAAUAAAAGGCUACUCCCUGGCGUGCUCCCUCUCUCUCUCUCCUGCUAGCCCUGAGUAAUCCUUGCUGCCCUACCGGGUGGUUCCAGGUGAGAGCCAGAGGGGGAGCCGUCAGAUU
rnacentral:lncRNA from 1 species